rnacentral:misc_RNA from 1 species
AAGGAUCAUUCACAAAAUUAACGAAAAGGAGAGCAAAAACACCUUUGGAGAGAUAUUUUGAAGGAGGUGUUGAUGCUCAAACUUUCGCACAUUUAUGUGUGUACCUUUGUGCAAAGUAAAUAACAAUUUACUCAAUUUUAUAUCUUGACUGAAAAUCUUUCAUUAUUUUGGUUGAAUAUUGGGAACAAUUUUUUUGUUUUCAAUUAGUAAAUUAGAUUUGAAUUUUUAUACAACUUUUAACAAUGGAUCUCUUGGCUCUC